rnacentral:rRNA from 1 species
CAUGCAAGUCGAGCGAAGCGGCAGCUGUAGCAAUACAGUAUGUGCUUAGCGGCAGACGGGUGAGUAACACGUAGACAAUCUACCUUCUAGAGGGGGAUAGCCCGCCGAAAGGCGGGGUAAUACCGCGUAAGAUCAGUCAUCGGCAUCGGCGAUUGAUGGAACAUCCGCAAGGAUGGCUAGAAGAGGAGUCUGCGGCCUAUCAGCUAGUUGGCGGGGUAACGGCCCACCAAGGCAACGACGGGUAUCCGACCUGAAAGGGAGACCGGACACACUGACACUGAGACACGGGUCAGACUCCUACGGGAGGCAGCAGUGAGGAAUUUUGGACAAUGGGGGAAACCCUGAUCCAGCGACGCCGCGUGAAGGAUGAAGGUCUUCGGAUUGUAAACUUCUUUUGCCUGGGAAUAACGGCCCUGUAGAAAUAUGGGGAAUGAAUGUACUAGGCGAAUAAGCCACGGCUAACUUCGUGCCAGCAGCCGCGGUAAUACGAAGGUGGCAAGCGUUACUCGGAAUUACUAGGCGUAAAGGGCAGGUAGGCGGUUUCGUAAGUCUGUUGUGAAAGCUCCUUGCUUAACGGGGAGAGGCCAACAGAUACUGCGAGGCUUGAGUAUAGGAGAGGGUACUGGAAUUCCCGGUGUAGCGGUGAAAUGCGCAGAGAUCGGGAGGAACACCAAUGGCGAAAGCAGGUACCUGGACUAUUACUGACGCUCAGCUGCGAAAGCUAGGGGAGCAAACAGGAUUAGAUACCCUGGUAGUCCUAGCCGUAAACGAUGCACAUUAGGCGUGAGGGGUAUCGACCCCCUUCGUGCCGAAGCAAACGCAUUAAAUGUGCCGCCUGGGGAGUACGGCCGCAAGGUUGAAACUCAAAGGAAUUGACGGGGGCCCGCACAAGCGGUGGAGCAUGUGGUUUAAUUCGACGCAACGCGAACAACCUU